rnacentral:rRNA from 1 species
UACAGAGGUCUCAAGCGUUGUUCGGAUUCAUUGGGCGUAAAGGGUGCGUAGGUGGCGGGGCAAGUUUGGUGUGAAAUCCCGGGGCUCAACCCCGGAACUGCACUGAAUACUGCUUUGCUUGAGCACUGGAGAGGGAACUGGAAUUACGGUGUAGCAGUGAAAUGCGUAGAUAUCGUAAGGAAGACCAGUGGCGAAGGCGAGUUCCUGGACAGUUGCUGACACUGAGGCACGAAGGCUAGGGGAGCAAACGGG